UACGGGAGGUGCGAGCGUUGUUCGGAAUGACUGGGCGUAAAGCGCACGUAGGCGGGUCUUUAAGUCUUAUGUGAAAGCCCUGGGCUCAACCCGGGAAUUGCAUGCGAAACUGGAGAUCUUGAAUGCCCGAGAGGUUAAUGGAAUUCUUGGUGUAGGAGUGAAAUCCGUAGAUAUCAAGAGGAACACCGGAGGCGAAGGCGGUUAACUGGUGGUGCAUUGACGGCUGAGGUGCGAAAGCGUGGGUAGCAAAC
rnacentral:rRNA from 1 species